GACGAACGCUGGCGGCGUGCUUAACACAUGCAAGUCGAACGGAAAGGCCCUGCUUUUGUGGGGUGCUCGAGUGGCGAACGGGUGAGUAACACGUGAGUAACCUGCCCUUGACUUUGGGAUAACUUCAGGAAACUGGGGCUAAUACCGGAUAGGAGCUCCUGCUGCAUGGUGGGGGUUGGAAAGUUUCGGCGGUUGGGGAUGGACUCGCGGCUUAUCAGCUUGUUGGUGGGGUAGUGGCUUACCAAGGCUUGGACGGGUAGCCGGCCUGAGAGGGUGACCGGCCACAUUGGGCCUGAGAUACGGCCCAGACUCCUACGGGAGGCAGCAGUGGGGAAUAUUGCACAAUGGGCGGAAGCCUGAUGCAGCAACGCCGCGUGCGGGAUGACGGCCUUCGGGUUGUAAACCGCUUUCGCCUGUGACGAAGCGUGAGUGACGGUAAUGGGUAAAGAAGCACCGGCUAACUACGUG
rnacentral:rRNA from 1 species